GACUGAGCUUGCUAACGGUGGAAUGUGAAGUCAUUUUUUUUUUCUGAGUCAAUCUCCCUCUGCCGUCUCGACUCCUUCUCCAAGCAGUUCCUCCUCUUCAACCUGGCCCUCCACGGCAAGACCCCUCCUUCGCGGUCUCCGCCGCCUCCUGCGGCCACUGCUGGCAGUUCUUCCAGGAACUCUGCGACACCUCCGAUAUCUAAUUCCUAAUUACCUCCCACGCCAACCCUCACUUCAACUUUCUCCCCCUUCCUCUCCCACCACUUCGGUCCCCAUCGCUUCGGCCCCUACGAUUUUCUCUGCACUUCCUUCACCAUAGAGCGACCCUUAGAUCGGCUCAUUCUCGUUUUGCUCGAUGACUUCGCCGUCAAAUUCUCACACUCUGUCUACUUCAACUCCCUCAAAUCUCGAGGCUUCGAUCUCCAUUUCCACCUUGUCGAUGAUCCCCAAUUUCAGAUUUUGUUGAUUCGGGUCAGGAGGAGGUUCGCCGUUUGGAUGUUGGUGUUGCUUGGGGCUUUCUCCUGGAGCCCCAUUUUGAAUUAGGGACAUCUUUUAUCGAGUUUCCACUCUCUGUUGCCCACGACUUCCCUGAUUUUGCAUUUAUUUGGUCACCAAGUAUCUCAUUUUCUUCUAAUCCAGAGUCUGCUACACUUAAACCCAAGUCAUCAAAAGAGUCGUCAUACUCAUCUUCAUAAACCUCUAAAUUUUGUUGCAGAAUAUGGGUCCUUAUAAAUCUGUUUCACAGAACUCAUCAUCCCGGAUAGAUAUUGAAACUGUUCAUUAUCAAUGAAUAUCCAUCCUGCAUCAUAGUAACUGAGUUAGAAAAGGAAAAGGGCCAAGCAUAUUGCAAACAUGAAUGGAAAAAUGCAACGAUUUCAACAUCUUGAAGAAAUGUUUCCUUCUGAUGGCUUUCCCGAGAAUGUGAUGAUACUGUAUUGAUAUCUCGAAUUGUUUGAACAAGAAUAUCUGCUCUGAUGACUGGGUCCUCUACAUCGGCAGGAAACAUCUUAUAGUGGCAGCUGGAAGAGGGAUGCGAUGAGGUUGUUCGCGUCUGGGUGUUGAUGAUGGAUGUGCGUGAUGGAGGAUGGCGACGACUGGGGUUUCUGCAGCGGCAGUUUCAUGGCGACAUGGUGGCUGAUUGACGUGACGGAAAAAUUGACGUGACAGAAAAACUGAGAAGACUUGCUUAGGUCAGAGAAAAAAAAUGACGUGACACUUCACCAUUAGUCAACUCAGUUUUUUUUUUAACGUUUGUUUUGGAGGACGAAAAAUUAAGAUUUCCUAAAGAGGAGGACUAAAAUGUACCUUACUUUAAAAGAUGAACUAAAAGCAAAUUCACUAAAAGCAAAUUCACUUGAUAGAUUAAGGACUAAAAAU
rnacentral:sRNA from 1 species